rnacentral:rRNA from 1 species
AUACGGAGGAUGCAAGCGUUAUCCGGAUUUAUUGGGUUUAAAGGGUGCGUAGGCGGUUUGCUAAGCGGGAGGUGAAAUGCCGGCGCUCAACGUCGGAAGUGCCUCCCGAACUGGUGGACUGGAAUGACUCUGCCGUGGGAGGAAUGUGUAGUGUAGCGGUGAAAUGCUUAGAGAUUACACAGAACACCGAUUGCGAAGGCAUCUCACGAAGGGUUGAUUGACGCUGAGGCACGAAAGCGUGGGGAUCAAACAGGAUUAGAUACCCUGGUAGUCCACGCAGUAAACGAUGAUGGCUAACCGCUGGUUUUUUCGGAUCAGUGGCCAAGCGAAAGCGAUAAGCAAUCCACCUGGGGAGUACGACCGCAAGGUUGAAACUCAAAGGAAUUGACGGGG